rfam:Triticum urartu cultivar G1812 contig285886, whole genome shotgun sequence.
GAAAUACUCCAUCCGUCCGAAAAUACUUGUCGUGGAAAUGGAUACAAAUGGAUAUAUCUAGAACUAAAUACAUCUAAAUACAUUCAUUUCUGAACAAGUAUUUCCGGACGAAGGGAGUACACU